UACGAAGGGGGCUAGCGUUGCCCGGAAUCACUGGGCGUAAAGGGUGCGUAGGCGGGUCUUUAAGUCAGGGGGGAAAUCCUGGAGCUCAACUCCAGAACUGCCUUUGAUACUGAAGAUCUUGAGUUCGGGAGAGGUGAGUGGAACUGCGAGUGUAGAGGUGAAAUUCGUAGAUAUUCGCAAGAACACCAGUGGCGAAGGCGGCUCACUGGCCCGAUACUGACGCUGAGGCACGAAAGCGUGGGGAGCAAACAGG
rnacentral:rRNA from 1 species